AAACGCAACGCGGCUGCUCAGCGCUACGCCCCGUGCGGCCUUAAAAGAGGGCCGAGCCAACAGUGGCAACAGCGGGUUACCUUAACUUAGGCGAUCCGAAAUGCUGAUCCCUCAUAGCGGGCUUUAACUGGCCCUCCUGGAUCUCCAUGAAGCCCUACAACACCCCUUGCUUCGCACUCUCCCCCACCUCCGUGGAGCUCUGCCUGGCGGUUGCUGCCUGCAGAAAGCCCAGAGCCCAACAUCUGAAGGAUGUUUUAAAGCGUGGGGGGUUGCAUCAUGGCCAGAGCACGGCUAUUUGCAGCGUCACAAGAGCGGCUCCCAGGCUGCACCACGUCAGGUUUCUGCAUGCAGGAGGACAAACGCACAGCACUGUGAUGUACACCCGUCUGCCUUCCUGUACGAGCAAAUGGGUGCGCACACAGGGGUGGAAAUGGCAAGUACUACACUGAAGAAAGGCCUAUGCUUGGGCACAGAUUUGGGGCCCUGAAACAUUUUCCCAUCACCUGAAUGAACGCAAACUUGGACAGUGGCAAAAUCUGACUACAGGCCAGACCUAAAUAGGGCAUUUAGUUGUGCUGACCCUGAGCACAGCUCUAACUCUCACGUGCCUGAGAGGAACAUGGGAACUGCCAAUGGAUGUCCAAGGCUCAUCUGGCCCAUAGGGACCAGGUAGGUGCAGCAGGUCAGGCUGCA
rnacentral:lncRNA from 1 species